GAUCUCGUGGGCCACCCGGACCCCCAGGACCACCAGGAGCCCCGGGCAAAGAUGGCAUCGAUGGAAAGGACGGACCGCCCGGACUUCCCGGAAAGCCUGGACCAAAAGGAAAAGAUGGAAUCCCAGGGACUGCAGGGAAACCCGGACUGCCUGGACUUCCUGGAAUAGACGUG